UUCAGAUUAUCUAACAUCAGAGACUAGUAUCAAAACAACUUUUUAAAGCUGGGAGAUGCAUCUGAUCGAAGUUGAACAUGGAUUUCUGUCAUUUGAUGAGCAUCCUUAUCUUUAAAAAAAUAUUGACAAUUUCUACAUAAACUAUUUAUGGAGAUAUGGUAAUAACUGUAACUGUAAAGCAA